rnacentral:rRNA from 1 species
UGAGCUUGAUCCUGGCUCAGAUUGAACGCUGGCGGCAGGCCUAACACAUGCAAGUCGAGCGGAAACGAUGGAAGCUUGCUUCCAGGCGUCGAGCGGCGGACGGGUGAGUAAUGCAUAGGAAUCUGCCCGAUAGUGGGGGAUAACGUGGGGAAACCCACGCUAAUACCGCAUACGUCCUACGGGAGAAAGCAGGGGAUCUUCGGACCUUGCGCUAUCGGAUGAGCCUAUGUCGGAUUAGCUAGUUGGUGAGGUAAUGGCUCACCAAGGCGACGAUCCGUAGCUGGUCUGAGAGGAUGAUCAGCCACACUGGGACUGAGACACGGCCCAGACUCCUACGGGAGGCAGCAGUGGGGAAUAUUGGACAAUGGGGGAAACCCUGAUCCAGCCAUGCCGCGUGUGUGAAGAAGGCCUUCGGGUUGUAAAGCACUUUCAGCGAGGAAGAAGGCCUGAGGGUUAAUACCCUUCAGGAAGGACAUCACUCGCAGAAGAAGCACCGUGCUAACUCCGUCGCGCACGACAGCGCUG